rnacentral:tRNA from 1 species
AGGGUGUUAACUUAAGUUUUAAAGUGUUGGAUUUUUAAUCCAGAAAUGUAUACACGCUCUU